rnacentral:rRNA from 1 species
GAUGAACGCUGGCGGCGUGCCUAAUACAUGCAAGUCGAGCGAACAGACGAGGAGCUUGCUCCUCUGACGUUAGCGGCGGACGGGUGAGUAACACGUGGAUAACCUACCUAUAAGACUGGGAUAACUUCGGGAAACCGGAGCUAAUACCGGAUAACAUGUUGAACCGCAUGGUUCAACGGUGAAAGACGGUCUUGCUGUCGCUUAUAGAUGGAUCCGCGCCGCAUUAGCUAGUUGGUAAGGUAACGGCUUACCAAGGCAACGAUGCGUAGCCGACCUGAGAGGGUGAUCGGCCACACUGGAACUGAGACACGGUCCAGACUCCUACGGGAGGCAGCAGUUGGGAAUCUUCCGCAAUGGGCGAAAGCCUGACGGAGCAACGCCGCGUGAGUGAAGAAGGUCUUCGGAUCGUAAAACUCUGUUAUUAGGGAAGAACAAAUGUGUAAGUAACUAUGCACGUCUUGACGGUACCUAAUCAGAAAGCCACGGCUAACUACGUG